rnacentral:rRNA from 1 species
UACGGAGGGUGCAAGCGUUAUCCGGAUUUACUGGGGUUAAAGGGUGCGUAGGUGGGCGAGAAAGUCAGUGGUGAAAUCUCCGGGCUUAACCCGGAAACUGCCAUUGAUACUAUUUAUCUUGAAUUCUGUUGAGGUGGGCGGAAUACAUCAUGUAGCGGUGAAAUGCUUAGAUAUGAUGUAGAACACCGAUUGCGAAGGCAGCUCACUAACCAGACAUUGACGCUGAGGCACGAAAGCGUGGGGAUCAAACAGG